rnacentral:rRNA from 1 species
ACGCUCGACACCUACGAGGCAGCAGUCGGGAAUAUUGCGCAAUGGAGGAAACUCUGACGCAGUGACGCCGCGUGCAGGAAGAAGGUUUUCGGAUUGUAAACUGCUUUAGACAGGGAAGAAAGAAAUGACAGUACCUGUAGAAUAAGCUCCGGCUAACUACGUGCCAGCAGCCGCGGUAAUCUGAGCGGGCUGGCAAGGC